rnacentral:rRNA from 1 species
ACGGGAGGCAGCAGUAAGGAAUAUUGCGCAAUGGGCGAAAGCCUGACGCAGCGACGCCGCGUGGGGGAUGAAGGUCUUCGGAUUGUAAACCCCUUUCGGGAGGGAAGAUGGGAUGGGGUAACCCAUUCGGACGGUACCUCCAGAAGCAGCCACGGCUAACUUCGUGCCAGCAGCCGCGGUAAUACGAAGGUGGCAAGCGUUGUUCGGAUUUACUGGGCGUACAGGGAGCGUAGGCGGUUGGAUAAGCCCUCCGUGAAAUCUCCAGGCUUAACCUGGAAAGUGCAGAGGGGACUGUUCAGCUAGAGGAUGGGAGAGGAGCGCGGAAUUCCCGGUGUAGCGGUGAAAUGCGUAGAGAUCGGGAGGAAGGCCGGUGGCGAAGGCGGCGCUCUGGAACAUUUCUGACGCUGAGGCUCGAAAGCGUGGGGAGCAAACAGGAUUAGAUACCCUGGUA